rnacentral:rRNA from 1 species
AGGGAUCAUUACACAAAUAUGAAGGCGGGCUGGAACCUCUCGGGGUUACAGCCUUGCUGAAUUAUUCACCCUUGUCUUUUGCGUACUUCUUGUUUCCUUGGUGGGUUCGCCCACCACUAGGACAAACAUAAACCUUUUGUAAUUGCAAUCAGCGUCAGUAACAAAUUAAUAAUUACAACUUUCAACAACGGAUCUCUUGGUUCUGGCAUCGAUGAAGAACGCAGCGAAAUGCGAUAAGUAGUGUGAAUUGCAGAAUUCAGUGAAUCAUCGAAUCUUUGAACGCACAUUGCGCCCUUUGGUAUUCCAAAGGGCAUGCCUGUUCGAGCGUCAUUUGUACCCUCAAGCUUUGCUUGGUGUUGGGCGUCUUGUCUCUAGCUUUGCUGGAGACUCGCCUUAAAGUAAUUGGCAGCCGGCCUACUGGUUUCGGAGCGCAGCACAAGUCGCACUCUCUAUCAGCAAAGGUCUAGCAUCCAUUAAGCCUUUUUUUCAACUUUUGACCUCGGAUCAGGUAGGGAUACCCGCUGAACUUAAGCAUAUCAAUAAG